rnacentral:rRNA from 1 species
UACGGAGGGUGCAAGCGUUAUCCGGAUUCACUGGGCUUAAAGGGUGCGUAGGUGGGCAGGUAAGUCAGUGGUGAAAUCUCCGAGCUUAACUCGGAAACUGCCGUUGAUACUAUUUGUCUUGAAUAUUGUGGAGGUAAGCGGAAUAUGUCAUGUAGCGGUGAAAUGCUUAGAUAUGACAUAGAACACCAAUUGCGAAGGCAGCUUACUGCGCAACGAUUGACGCUGAGGCACGAAAGCGUGGGGAUCAAACAGG